UGUCCAAUCCAGAUGUUGUCUUGGCACAGA
rnacentral:piRNA from 1 species